UACGUAGGUGGCAAGCGUUGUCCGGAUUUACUGGGCUUAAAGGGCGCGUAGGCGGGUUCUCAAGUCAGGGGUGAAAUCCCGCGGCUCAACCGUGGAAGUGCCUUUGAUACUGGGGACCUCGAGGGAGGUAGGGGCGUGCGGAACUUCCGGUGGAGCGGUGAAAUGCGUAGAUAUCGGAAGGAACACCGGUGGCGAAAGCGGCGCGCUGGACCUCUUCUGACGCUGAGGCGCGAAAGCCAGGGGAGCAAACGGG
rnacentral:rRNA from 1 species